AUACAUGGGCGUACUGUGAUAACAUUAAUUACGAAACUGAGGAUAUGGCGUCAAAAUCCCCAAACAUAUUUUGUGGAACCUGUUCCAGACCAAGUAAAUCCACCAAAGCUGUAAAGUUCUGUACAGACUGCAUAGACGUGCUAUGUUCAGAUUGCGUAGAUUUUCACGGAAGCAUUAAAACUUUUGAUACCCAUCAUAUAAUAGAUAUCAACGUCAUUGAAGGUGAACCAUUAGUUGUCAAUGAAUCUUGCAAAGUUCAUCCCGAUAUGGUUUUAGAAUAUUUUCGCUCCGACCAUGAAUCGUUAUGCUGUCGUUCAUGUGUAAAGUUGGUUCCAAUUGACAUAUUGGAAAAAGGGGUUAAAAGUUCAGCCAUGUAUGAAGAAAUGGUCAAGGAUGUCACUACAUUAAGUUCCGCAGUAAACGAACUGGAAGAUAAAAGCAAAAAGGUAAUGAUCAAUCUUAAAGAUAGUUAGCUGGCUGUUCAGCAAGAUGUUAAAAACUUCAGAGCACGAUUGGAAAAGCGCAUUGAGAAAAUUGAAUCAGCUUUAAUGUUUGAAAUAGACAAAAUGCAUACAGACCUCUCAGAUGAAGCAAACGACAACCUUGAAAAUAUCUGUGAUCGAAGAAGAAAGAUACAAAAUAUUUCUGAACAGUUUGAAUAUGUAUCGAAAAAUGGAUCUGAGAGUCAAAUAUUUAUGUUGAUAAAUAAUAUUAAAGAAGAACUGAACUUUCAUACUAAUGAUUUUUUAAAAACUUCUGUGGUCCUAGAAAGAUCUAUCUGUUUCAUUCGAAGAGUCCGAUUUGUAGUCAGUUGCAAAAUCAUUUGGUUCAGUUGAAAUCAAAGAGGCAUUCCUUGUUUCCUUGAUAUCAAAUAAAAACCAUGUAAGGUUCAGCAAGCGCAAUUCCUGCAACAGUAGAGAAAGCGUCCAACUUAACUUCAGCUAGAUGUGAAAUUAAAGGUGCCUGGUGAAAAAAUCGUCGAGAUAGGUGUGACAAAGGACAACAGAUUAUUCCUGUGUAAUAUGUAUGGUUCGAGUUUAUUUGUUAUGGCGGACAAGGGCCAUCAAUUGGCAAUAAUUCAAAUGGACGGGAAACAAUAGAUGUUAAUACAGCAUGGGUCACACUACCACUUUUAAGGUCCGUUUAGGUAGUAGAUAUGGCUACAAUGAGGAAGGGUCGACUGGUUUAAGUACCAACGUAUGAAUCUUAUGUAUAUGGUAUUGCUGUUAUUGACGACCAAAUUGCUGUAAGUGGUUACGGCAAGAUAUCCAUAAUUAGUAAGAUCGGUGGCUUAAGGAAGACACUUUAUUUUAGGAAAUAUUCAGUUCACUCUUUAUCAGUUUGACAAAACAAUCAACUUUACUAUGCUCAUGCUUAUAUAGGAAAAUCAACAUUGAAAAGCGUAAGACUAGAUUGAACAGUUGUCCCAAUCUCUGCUGAAGAUACUGACUACAUGAUCGCUGUUAAAAGCGACAAAAAAGGAAAUGUAUAUUUUCUGGAAUACAAAGCAUCAAAUCUUAAGCUGUUUUCAUUUAAAGUUAAAUCUUUUAAAACUAUAAAACAACAAAUGAUGGACUAAAUAUACCCUAUGGAUUGGCUUUCAAUAACGAUUGUCUAAACUUUUCGUUUCAAAUUACUCUGCCGGUGAGAUAUUGGUAAUGUUGUGUAAUAAGAAAUUACAGACUUGUUAGUUUUAUAGUGAAGAAAAGUUAUAUCUUUAUACGUUAGUAUUUUAGAAAUAAAAAAAGUAUUUCAAUCUUU